rnacentral:misc_RNA from 1 species
GAUGAAGAACGUAGCGAAAUGCGAUACGUAAUGUGAAUUGCAAAUUCAGUGAAUCAUCGAGUCUUUGAACGCACAUUGCGCCCCCUGGUAUUCCGGGGGGCAUGCCUGUCCGAGCGUCAUUGCUGCCCUCAAGCACGGCUUGUGUGUUGGGCCCCGUCCUCCGAUCCCGGGGGACGGGCCCGAAAGGCAGCGGCGGCACCGCGUCCGGUCCUCGAGCGUAUGGGGCUUUGUCACCCGCUCUGUAGGCCCGGCCGGCGCUUGCCGAUCAACCCAAAUUUUUAUCCAGGUUGUCCUCGGAUCAGGUAGGGAUACCCGCUGAACUUAAGCAUAUCAAUAAGCGGAGGA